UGGGGUGCACAGACCAGGCUUUGACUUCUGCAGGUUUCUGAAAGAGAUCAAGAGCUUCAUCGAGAGAAUUCAACUGGAAAACCAAGACGGGCAGACUCUCUUUUCUUCAAACAAUAGGCAGGAGCCAGGCAGAGUCCAGGGAUUCUUGGGACACCUCUUUUUUUCUUUGGAGGACACUAAGUUCUAUUUGAAGACAAAGUUCACUAUGGCAACAGGACUGAAGAAGCACGAAGGAAUCGUUAUCAUAAUUUGGUGACAGUUUUUCAAACGACAGUGUCUUAAGGAAAGGUGGAUCAAGGAACUCCUGAACUUUUGGUUGCAUUAAGUGAGAAAUCAGCAUGGCUCAAGCGAGUCUCCUGGCAUGUGAAGGCCUAGCAGGUGUAAGUUUGGUUCCCACUGCAGCCAGCAAGAAGAUGAUGCUGAGCCAGAUUGCCAGCAAGCAGGCCGAGAAUGGAGAACGGGCAGGUAGCCCUGAUGUGCUGAGGUGCUCAAGUCAGGGCCACCGAAAAGACAGUGAUAAGUCCCGGAGCCGCAAAGAUGAUGACAGCUUGGCUGAGGCCUCUCAUUCAAAAAAGACUGUUAAAAAGGUGGUGGUAGUGGAACAAAAUGGUUCUUUUCAAGUAAAGAUUCCCAAAAAUUUUGUUUGUGAACACUGCUUUAGAGCCUUUAGGAGCAGUUACCACCUAAAGAGGCACAUCCUUAUUCACACCGGUGAGAAGCCGUUUGAGUGUGAUAUAUGUGAUGUGCGCUUCAUCCAAAAGUACCACCUGGAACGGCACAAGCGUGUGCACAGUGGCAAAAAGCCUUACAAGUGUGAACGGUGUCAUCAGUGUUUUUCUCGGACAGAUCGAUUACUCAGACACAAACGGAUGUGCCAAGGGUGCCAGUCCAAGACUUCCGACGGGCAGUGUUCUCUAUAGGCGCAAGGGGCCCUGGGUGGUGGGAGUGAUCAGAAGAAUGUGAAGAGCGCACCCCCUCUGGUCUGAUGGUCCCACCACCACCACAUCUGAACCUGUCCCGCUCCUGGAGGAGUGGACCCAGGAGACCAGAAGAGUGCAUCAGGGGACAGUGGCCCCAGAGCCUCAGCUCUGUAAAUAAUCUGAGACUAUGAGUAUCUCGGGGAAGUUCCUACAGCAUUCCUGGGUAGGGGAGCUAGUCCCUGGACCCUUGGCUGGGGUCAUAGGUGGGAACUCAAGGUACAGGACCAAGACUGAAGCGUGGCUCCCACAACCUUGGACUCUAGCUGGCAGCUGAAAUGGAAAAGACUGGGGAAGGGGAAAAAAAAAAAUUAGCCAGGA